rnacentral:tRNA from 1 species
GGUUUUAUAGUCAAUAUAUGAUAUUAGACUGCAAUUCUAAAGUAGUAAAUUUUACUAAAACCU